UCCCUGGUGGCUCAGUGGGUAAGCGUCUGCCUCCAAUGCGGGAGACCUAGGUUCGAUCCCUGGGUUGGGAA
rnacentral:tRNA from 1 species